AGCUUUUCACAGUGGCAGUGUCGUAGCCAAUGAGGUUUAUCCGAGGCACGAUUAUUGCUAAUUGAAAACUUUUCCCAAAAAAAAAUCCAGCAAUCCUGUUUUUUUAAAAAAA
rnacentral:snRNA from 1 species